rnacentral:rRNA from 1 species
GAUGAACGCUAGCUACAGGCUUAACACAUGCAAGUCGAGGGGCAUCAUGUCGGUUGCUUGCAACCGAUGAUGGCGACCGGCGAAUGGGUGAGUAACGCGUAUCCAACCUGCCCCCGGCCGGGGUAUAACCCGUCGAAAGGCGGCCUAAUCCCCCAUGCAGUCCUCUGAGGUCCUCCGAUGAGGAUGAAAGGUAUUUUUCCGGCCGGUCGAUGGGGAUGCGUCCGAUUAGCUUGCUGGCGGGGUAACGGCCCACCAGGGCUUCGAUCGGUAGGGGUUCUGAGAGGAAGGUCCCCCACACUGGUACUGAGACACGGACCAGACUCCUACGGGAGGCAGCAGUGAGGAAUAUUGGUCAAUGGGCGGAAGCCUGAACCAGCCAAGUAGCGUGCAGGAUGACGGCCCUAUGGGGUUGUAAAACUGCUUUUGCGCGGGGAUAAAAUGGGGAAACGGUUCCCCCUU